UGCCAAAUUGACACCUGUCAAACUACACUUCGCAAGCUCGUGCGGAUUUUAGAAUAAUUUAUGUUUAUUUAUUAAUUUUAAGCUUAAUUUAAUCACAUGAUGGAAUGUAUAAGCAUAUUAGAGAGGGAAAUAGCCGAUUUGCGCAAGACUUUAGCCGAGAAAGAGAACGAGUUGGUGGAAAUUAAGAAGAAAUGGUUAUCGAAGCCACAAUUAGAAAAUCAGAUGCAAACCAACCCCAAUGGGUUACAUGGCCAAGCAAAUGUGGAGCGUCUGCCCCGAUGGGCAAUAGAAAGGUACAGCCGACAAAUCCUGCUGCCUGAGAUUGGUGUAGAAGGGCAGGCGGCACUGUUGGCUGCUAAGGUGCUCCUGGUCGGAGCCGGGGGGCUAGGGUGCCCUGCUGCCGCGUACCUCGCAGGCGCUGGGGUUGGUGAAGUAGGCCUCGUGGACUACGACACAGUGGAUGUGACCAACAUACAUCGGCAGCUCUUACACGGGGAAAUAGAUCAGGGCGUCAGCAAAGUGCAGUCGGCCGCUGCGGCUUUGAGGAGGAUAAACUCCAACAUAACGGUGACCACACACGAAACACAGCUGUCAUCUAGCAACGCUCUAGAUAUCGUGGCUCGGUACCAUAUGGUACUGGACUGUUCCGACAAUGUACCGACUAGGUACCUUUUGAACGACGCUUGCUCUCUUACUAAGUUGCCCCUCAUAUCCGGAAGUGCCUUAAAAAUGGAAGGUCAGCUCACGAUAUAUGGAUAUCGAGGGCCGAAGGAUCCCAACGAAAAGGAGACGUAUCAGGGCCCGUGCUAUAGAUGCCUGUUCCCGUCCCCCCCACCUCCCGAAACGGUUGGCAGUUGCUCCGCGAAUGGAGUAGCAGGUCCCAUACCCGGACUUAUAGGCGUGCUGCAAGCGCUGGAGGCCAUUAAGCUUAUAGUGGGCUAUUCUCACAAUAAGUUGCUGGUGGAGCGUCUGCUUGUCUUCGAUGGCGAUGACUGUACCUUCAGAAAUGUGAAACUCCGCCCGCGCAACGCAGAGUGCGCCGCGUGCUCCGCUUCCCCCACCAUCACACGGUUGGUGGACUACGAGGCCUUCUGCAAGGCGAAGGCCUCAGACAAGAAAAAAGUCGACGCUAAAAUCAAAUCGCAACGUAGGAAAGAAGAAAAAGAAAAACGCAUGUCCGGCCAAAGCUACUACGGCUUCCGGAGAGACAGGGACAGAGCUAAAUGGGUCCAGGACGUAUUGAAGCAGGAGAGGAAGAUGGGUCCGUCCUGCUCGUCGCCGUUCUGUAAGAAAGGGACGGCGAGAAAGUGCCCGAGCUUUAACGAGGAUGUUAGGAUGAAGAUAUUUGAUUAUUUUUGGAAUGAGUUAGAUUGGGCGGGGAAGAAGAAUUUUGUACGAUCUCUAGUCGACAAUAUACCCGCAAAACGAAGAAGGCUGAAACACAAAGGCGAAAUAUCCAGAAAAGGGGACUCCAAGCUAUACCACCUGGUAUACAACGACCAAAAGCUCCCCGUCUGCCGAACCACCUUCCUCAACACUCUAGGAGUCAAAGAAGCUAUGGUCAGAUGCUGGCUCGUCAAAGAAGAUAAACCUAAAGAACCCAAAAAGCCUUUAAAAGCUUUAACCGUAGAAACAUAUAUAGAGAAUUUACCUAAAAUCGAAAUUAAAUGUCCAUAUUGCAAAACUACACCUAUGUACAGUGAUUUAUUAUACUUAGAUUUAAGUAGCGUUAAAAAUCAAUACCAAUUAUAUAAUCAUUAUGUAAAAGAUAUGAAAUUAAAAGGGCUAGUACCGGCGUCUAGAAAGACGUUUUCGAAAGUGUUUUUGGCAAAGAAUUUGAAGAUUUUCAAGCCGAAAAAUGAGAGUGACGUGUGUGAUAUAGUGAGUCAACAUAAUGUGAUGAACAGUAAUUAUCAGUUGGACAAUUUGAAUUUGGAUUUGGGACAGAGUGUUAUGAAUAUUAGUUAUACUACGCAAUGGUGAAACAAAAUUGUAGUUUAUGUGACGGCUACAUAAUGGAAGACAUUAUGUACCAGUCACAUAAACUAUAGAAAGCGAGUUUUAUAAAAACAUCACACGAGUGUUUCAAUGCCUAAUUAUGUACAGUUACAUAUAACUACUGUUUCACACAUAUCAUAAGCUAUCUAUGAUGUGUUCAGGAUUCGCGUUUUACGAGCACCCUGGCGGCAUUUGAUCAGUUGAUCUCACUGUUUGUAUAAUUAGUUUGUUUUUUCAGAGCUGUUCGAGAUUCGAAUGUCAUUAUUAAAUCGAUAUCGUAUCGUUAUUAUUUCGCAAUAAUAACAUUUUCACAAAUAGAAAAUACUACCUCCUUCUUCCUCGCGUUGUCCCGGCAUUUUUGCCACGGCUCAUGGGAGCUUGGCAACUAAUCCCGAGAAUUGGCGUAGGCACUAUUUUAUACAAAAGCGACUGAUCUUCCAACCCAGAGGGUAAACUAGGCCUUAUUGGGAUUAGUCCGGAUUCCUCGCUAUGUUCUCCUUCACCGAAAAGCAUAAGUUCCGAAAAACUCAUUGGUACGAACCGGGGUUUGAAGCCGCGACCUCCGGAUUGCAAGUCGCAUGCUCUUACCGCUAGGCCUGGUGGCUUUUUUUACAAAUAAAAAUAAAAAUCAAUAAAUAAAGAAAUAAAACAGAGUAUUUUUAUACUGGCAGUAACUUACGAUGUUUGAAGGCACCAUAAGUUUAAUGUCGACCACCAUAGAGGGUUUAUGAGCACCAUAGAAGCGCUGGUGGCCUAGCGGUAAGAGCAUAUGACUUUCAAUCCGGAGGUCGUGAGUUCAAAUCCCGGCUCGUACCAAUGAGUUUUUCGGAACUUAUGUACGAAAUAUCAUUUGAUAUUUACCAGUCGCUUUUCGGUGAAGGAAAACAUCGUGAGGAAACCAGACUAAUCCCAACAAGGCCUAGUUUACCCCUCUGGGUUUGAAGGUCAGAUGGCAGUCGCUUUAGUAAAAACGAGUGCCUACGCCAAUUCUUGGGAUUAGUUAUCAAGCAGACCCCAGGCUCCCAUAAGCCUUGGUAAAAUGCCGGGACAACGCGAGGAAGAAGAAGACCAUAGAGGGUUUAUGAUAUGUGUUAUAAUAAAGAAUUCAAUGGCAUGUUUCUAAAGUUGUUGUGUGUUGUCAUGUCGCUCGUAUAGUCGUGUCAUCCAAGAUGACGCGCAGAUUUGUCGAAUCUAACCUUUGAUAACAUGACAUUACUCAUGAAGGAACACGUCUUCGUGAAUUACACGAUUUAUAAAGGCUAAAAAUGAUUACAGUAAUGGCUAAAUAUGACUCAUUGGUCAUAUUUAUAGAUUUAAAAAUGGAAUACCAAAGAGGUGAAAUGAUUGAAAAUUUAAAACUCGAUAGAGGGUGCCACCACAAAUGUCAAAAUGUUGUAUCUCAUUUUGUAUUAGUUUGUCUACUGUGUGUAAUUUAUUUCGGUUUAUUUUAUGUUUCUUUCCUUGUGUCUUUUACCUUCCGUGAUUAUUACGCACUUUAUGGAAGUCGCCAGCAACAUUUUGAGAUGAGGCCACUUCAUUACACUUUAUUCUCACUAUGUUCUCUUUUAUGUAUGUCUAUUGACUGAUUGUGUGUUUACGAAUUAAAAAAAAACUAUUCUAUUCUAAAAAAGAUUGCCACUCUUGCCAGUGUUCGAAUGGGACAAAUACGACCUGUAAGCACUUUAGAGUAAUCAUAAAUAAAUAAAUAUUAUAGGACAUUAUUACACAAAUUGACUAAGUCCCACGAUAAGCUCAAUAAGGCUUGUGUUGCGGGUACUUAGACAACGAUAUAUAUAAUAUAUACAUAUUUAUAAAUACUUAAAUAUAUACAAAACAUCCAUGGCUCAGGAACAAAUAUCCAUGCUCAUCACACGAAUAAAUACCCUUACCAGGAUUUGAACCUGGGACCAUCGGCUUCAUAGGCAGGGUCACUACCCACUAGGCCAGACCGGUCGUCAAUCAAUAUUUAAACAAUCAUAGGCUUUAUUUAGAUUUAUUUAUUUAUUUAAAUACCGUAUCACUGUUGUCUCCGGGGUCACGCUACGACACCGUUGUCUCCUGGGUCACGGGACAACACAAUAACACAAAAUGUUUUUGACACUUGUUGAGUGAUGUAAUGUCCAAAUUUGUAUUGUAUUUUAUCUUCUCUUCUUUGUCCAGCCCAUUUCCCAGUUCAGCUGGGGUCUCCUCGUACGUCGGCGCCAGGACAGUCUAUCCUGGGUUGUCCGCGUGGUCAAGUUUUGUGUCCUCAUCUCUCUUCCGACAUAGGACCACCAGGUUGCUGGUCUUCUGCCUCUUCCUUUGGGGUUGCUUGGGAUGUUCAUAGCCUUCCUCACUGUGUAGUUUUCGUCCCUUCGGAAAACGUGACCAUACCACCUCAUUCUACUCUCUUUGAGUUUUUCGGUAAUAGGCGCUACCUUGAACGAGCCGCGUACAUAUUCAUUGCGAACCUUAUCGAGUCGCGUGACACCGCCAGCCCACCUAAGCAUUUUCAUUUCCGCCACGUGGAGUUUUUGUUCAUGCACUUUCUUAGCUUAGCUUUUCUUGUAUUGUAUUUUAUAUUGUAUUUAAUUGUAUAUAAAAUAAAUAAAUCUCUGUGAUGAUAUGUAGUUUUAUUUUAAAAUAUUGAGAAUAAUAAAAAUUGAGGUCACCGGGUAUAGUCAUUCGUUUUGUACCUGCCCCCGAACGGCUAAUGCUUUGUCAGUAAAACCGCACGUGCUACUACGUGCAAAAAAAAAUCUAAUUGGCACAUGAGCGCGGGCUACUCCAACGCUCAAAAAACCAGUGUAACGCGCUCUCCGAUAACGCGCCUUUGUUACAAUCUCGAUUACACAUUUUAGACGGGUUCUGUAGCGUUAGACCCUUACUCUUUGCGUUAGACUCGCCGGCGACAUAUUUUUCCAUUAGUUACUAUUAUUCGCAAUAAUAAUUAUAAAAAAAUAUAUUUAAAAAAUGUGUCUCCAUACAAGGAUUCAUUAGAGUCGCUAUGUAGGGUAAUAAUACACUGACACUGCGGGAUUGCGUAAUGCAUCGCAACCAUAAUGUGAUUUGUAGUAUUUCGUUUUAAAAUAUGUUGUCAUAAUAUGUAAGAUAAUCUAUAUAAAUAAAGGUUAUCUUUUCAAUAAUGGCCGCCAUCUGAAAUAUCUCACUUCCGGUCAAGGUUUCGAUCGGGCAACCGUCAAAAUCAGAUUCAGCGGGGUCAAAUUGGUUUAUAAAACUAUGGUCCAAAAAGUAAUAAGAUCUGCCAGUCGACAUCGAUUUUUUCUAAAAUAUGACCAGACUACUAUCAAAAUUAUCGGUUAUUCCUAAACAUUUCGAAUCAAUAAUUUACUACCAAUUAUUUUACGCUUCCGACCGAAAUUACUUAAAUCAGCAACAACAUUAUCAAUAGACGUUCCACUGACUUCAAUUCAUGUCAGUUGAUAGAUUAUGCGACGAUGCAAUGGAUAAGGGCUAUCAGGUAGAUGUUAUUUAUACCUAUUACCUACAGAGUACGCCAAAGCAUUCGAUAAAACUUCACAUUAUUUGCUCAAUCUCAUUAAAAAAUUACAAACUUUGGAAUCUUUUGAGAUGGCUUACUUCCAAGGGCGUAUUUAACCUAGGGCCAUCCGGGCCAUGGCCCGGGGCACCAAAUUGUAACAUACGCCCCUUCACCUGCGCGCCAGAACGCAAGCAGUUGCUAUAAGUACUUCGUUUUUAGGGUUCCGUAGCCAAAUGGCAAAAAACGGAACCCUUAUAGAUUCGUCAUGUCCGUCUGUCUGUCCGAUUCUGUCACAGCCACUUUUUUCCGAAACUAUAAGAGCUGUACUGUUCAAACUUAGUAAGUGGAUGUAUUCUAUGAACCGCAUUAAGAUUUUCACACAAAAAUAGAAAAAAAACAAUAAAUUUUGGGGAUUCCCCACACGUAUGGGUUUGAUGAAAAAAGAUUUUUUGAGUUUCAGUUCUAAGUAUGGGGAGCCCCCAAAAUUUAUUGUUUUUUUUUUCUAUUUUUGUGUAAAAAUCUUAAUGCGGUUCAUAGAAUACAUCUACUUACCAAGUUUGAACGGUAUAGCUCUUAUAGUUUCGGAAAAAAGUGGCUGUGACAUAAUCGGACAUGACGAAUCUAUAAGGGUUCCGUUUUUUGCCAUUUGGCUACGGAACCCUAAAAACAACGAACUCUAGUAAGAAUUGAUACUUAACUAGUAGAAAGUAUAAGUACCUAAGUAAUUACUUAUUUUGAAAAUUAUUUUACCAACAUGUUUAUUUAUUUUUCAAUUCAUCAAUCAUAAUAUGUAUUUAUGUCAUGAUAAUCAGAUGUCAAAGUCUCUUACUCUAUUUGUAAACGCUGGUGUCCUGAAAGAUAAGAUAAUUUUUGUUUGUUAAGAUUACGUUGUGAUAAGGGAAUUAUAAUUGUUGUAAUAAAAUGAUACUACCUGUUGUAUAUUUGA